UUCCUGUUAGCUUCUCUUCCUGGCUCAUCAGAAAGCAAGGCAGACAUGUGGAGCAUGGUCUGAAUGUUAUCCGCCGCCAUCUGCUCAAAUUCAUCAUAGAGGCAUUGCCUUUUCACCAGCAUGUCAGUGAAGGAACCCGAAGUAAACGGUCAAUCUUG